AGAGUUUGAUCAUGGCUCAGAUUGAACGCUGGCGGCAGGCCUAACACAUGCAAGUCGAGCGGUAGCACAGGGAGCUUGCUCCUGGGUGACGAGCGGCGGACGGGUGAGUAAUGUCUGGGAAACUGCCUGAUGGAGGGGGAUAACUACUGGAAACGGUAGCUAAUACCGCAUAACGUCUACGGACCAAAGUGGGGGACCUUCGGGCCUCAUGCCAUCAGAUGUGCCCAGAUGGGAUUAGCUAGUAGGUGGGGUAAUGGCUCACCUAGGCGACGAUCCCUAGCUGGUCUGAGAGGAUGACCAGCCACACUGGAACUGAGACACGGUCCAGACUCCUACGGGAGGCAGCAGUGGGGAAUAUUGCACAAUGGGCGCAAGCCUGAUGCAGCCAUGCCGCGUGUGUGAAGAAGGCCUUCGGGUUGUAAAGCACUUUCAGCGAGGAGGAAGGGUUCAGUGUUAAUAGCACUGUGCAUUGACGUUACUC
rnacentral:rRNA from 1 species